UUAGGGUACCGGUGCCUUGCUCAAGACAUGCCGCUUGUCUGAAGAGAAUGGUCUUGAACUGAGUUCCCCCUGGUGGCAAUAACACUGUUAUCCACUUAGCCACAGAAAACAAGCAUCAAAGUAUCCUUAAAUAUGUUGGUGGGUGGGGUUGAGCACGUGGAUUCAAGUCUUGACUUGAGACUUGCAUCCAACUUGCCACUAGGUUAAUUGCUUGUACUGUCUAACACAGGAUGGCAACCGGUUCAGGGUGUACCCCGCCUACUGCCUCAAGAAAACUGGGAUAGCCUCCAAUAUGCCCGCGACCCUCGUGAGGAUAAGCGGAUUAGAAAAUGGGUGAAUGGAUAGUAGGAAUACAUUUUAUUUGUGAUGGACUUUACAUCCGCAACAGAGCUUAACAUGCUACAGCCAUGAACAAAAACUCAAACAAGUAAAAUGCAAGUUCGCACGAACACAUAAAACAACAUUAUAAGUUAAAAGCUCUCUUCAAAAGAAAGGUUUUAAAUUUGUUUUCAAACUUUCAAUGCUCUGUGGAGCCCUGAGGUAGUCCAGGAGAGCGUUGCACACAUGUGGCACAGCAGAGCAGAAGGCCCGAUCCCCCACUGUGCUGGUCUUAGCACUCGGUUGAAGGAGAUGGUCGGUGUUGAAGGAGUAGAGAGAUGGUGCUGAAGUGUUUGGCGUAAGGAGCUCUGAUAGGCGUGGGUGGGGUGGGGUGGAGAUUCAUUGCCGUGGAUACAUUUGUGGGUGAGUAGAGAGACCUUAUAUUCAAUAUUGGCAGUGAUAGAGAGCCAAUGAAGUGAAUGUAGGAUGGGGAUGGCGCGCUCAUGUUUCCACACUCUCAUCAGGAUCCUGGCAGCACUGUUCGGGAGGAAAUGCAGCUUCUGGAUGGUUUUGCUGGGGAUCCCAAUGAGCGGUGUGUUGCAGUCGUUCAUUCUUAUGCUUGCAAUGUGCUGGAGUGUGACCACUCGUCAUGAAUUCUGAGAAACCGAUGGGAAGCUAUUAAAGGUGCGGCGCUCUGUUAUCUUGAGGAACAGGCUUGAAGCACAGUGUGUGAAAAGCCUUGAAUGGUCACAAAGCUUAUUAUGAUGAUACAAAACUGGCAAGCAGAUCAUGUUCCCUCCUCAAAGAGGGUCAGGGUGACCUUUAAUAUGUAGUCAACAUAGAAGGAACAUGCACAGUCCUACACAAAGCCCACAGGGCUGAAACACAGCGGUAACAGUCACGCUCAAUUAUUAUAAAAUGGAAGAAUAAAGACAAAGACAGCUGCUGCACGUUAAAUAAGUGAAUAAAGGGCGCUGUUCAAAGCAGUCAUUCCAAAUGAGAUGCUCCUCAUCGUGAUCUGUGUUUUUGUUUAGAUUGCAAUUC